CCCUUCGUGCCCGCUCGGGCACGGCGCCGCCGGCGGCUCCCUGAGGGCGUCCGGGCCGCCGCCAUUUGCCUCAGGCGCUUCCCGCCUUCGGAGCCUACGCCGGCCAACCGCCGUCAGCGCGCUCCUCGUUAGUAUAGUGGAACAUGGCUGGAGAGGUGCGGCGCACAGGGACGGCGGCGUCCGCGGCGGUGGCGCCGGGCGUUGGGCGGCCGUGAUCGUAUAGUGGUUAGUACUCUGCGUUGUGGCCGCAGCAACCUCGGUUCGAAUCCGAGUCACGGCAGGAACAUGUCUUUUUUUUUUUUUUUUUUUUUGCCCCUCUUCCUUUCUCCGGCGCUGUUUGCGAGCGCCUUAGCCGGGACGAGGCGAGGUGACUUUGGUCCUCCCAGCCCCGGCUGCGGGAGACUAAGGGGUCUCCCUGAACCCAACUGCCGCCCCCUCGGGAGGCGACCCCCAGCGCGGACUGGGCUCUCGGCCCGUGUCGUUUCAGAUAGGAAAUGCGGCUGUGCCCUCCUGCGGAGACCACCCGUGACAGGUCAGCCCUGGGCAACGCCUUUCCUUCAGUCCCUCGCUUCCUGCCGUCCGGCUGGACACCGUCCCCGCCCAAAGAACGGCGCCGGCUGUUCCAAUCGGAACCGCGGCGGUGGCGCCUUUUUCCCGGCUGUGCCGGCGAGCACGGCAAGGUGUGGGCGCCUCCAAAACGGCGGCUUCUCUCCAUUCCUACUGAAAACGGGGAUCGAGGGAGGCCCAAAAGGGAAGUGGCCCGUACGGGGAUCGAACCCGCGACCUUGGCGUUAUUAGCACCACGCUCUAACCAACUGAGCUAACCGGCCCGUCCGCUGUUACACUCACCAGCGUUUUACAUGUCGGAUUGCAGCCUCACCCUGGCCCGCGCAGCCGCCACCGCACCGAUCCCGCUCGAGCGGAUCCGCGACGGCACCGCCAGCACCGAACGAAGGAGCAAAGGCGCGGGCACCACGCGUGUUCCUGGUGCGCUUCCCUCCUCCGCACGCACCCGCGGCGGCGCAGGGGCAGGGAUAGCGCCCCGUCCGCGCCUACCCGCGUUUGGCGGGAUCACGCAUCAAAACAGCACCGCAUGGGACACACGCAGGCAAGGAAAAAGAAAAGGGAUGUCAGGAGUGGGAUUCGAACCCACGCCUCCAGGGGAGACUGCGACCUGAACGCAGCGCCUUAGACCGCUCGGCCAUCCUGACCGCUGGGUGCGUUUCCCGACCGGCCCCAUUCGGUCCGCCCAGAUCCCGGAGCGCCCCCGGGUAGCGCAAAGUGCGCCCUGUCUGUGGCACCGGAACGGGGCAGGACAGAGCGCUGGCCCCGUCCAGCCCCAGGCACUGCCGAACGGGCCCGAGACCGCCCUGAAGCACGCAGCAGCAGGAACCGCGGUCCUGUCCCCAGGCCACGCCCUCAGUGCCCAUAGCCGAAGGCUGCUCUCAGUCCUCCACAAGAAACCUAAGAUUUUCGGGUUACAAAGACACGCUAACAUUACACAGUUUUGAUCAGUUCUGUAAAUAACUGUGCAAACCAAAGUCAUUUAUUAUUCCUUUAAAAUAAUUUGAGUACCAAAACCACACAUCAACAUCACUUUGCAGCAGAAAUUUACCAGCUCCUGAGAUGGCAGCUAAAGGUAGGUAACUUCAGCACUUCCUCAAAACUAAUACUGAGAAAAACACACCCAAAACAAUUAGGAACUCAGGUUCCAUUUCACAGAAACAUAACAAAUCUAGGUCCCUGCUUCAGUAAAUAUUUUGAGCAGGAUAGAAAAGGUCCUUCUCAAGAACAAAGGAGAAAGUGGAGGUUUUAAGUCCUUCCUUAAUUUUGUUACUUACAAUUCUAAAAUUUAGUCUUCUUACAGAAUUAUGCUCUAUUUUUUUUCCUU